GUCGCAAGACUGAAACUCAAAGGAAUUGACGGGGACCCGCACAAGCAGUGGAGUAUGUGGUUUAAUUCGAAGCAACGCGAAGAACCUUACCAGGUCUUGACAUCCCUCUGACCGGUACAGAGAUGUAUCUUUCCUUCGGGACAGAGGAGACAGGUGGUGCAUGGUUGUCGUCAGCUCGUGUCGUGAGAUGUUGGGUUAAGUCCCGCAACGAGCGCAACCCUUGAUCUUAGUUGCCAGCA
rnacentral:rRNA from 1 species